rnacentral:lncRNA from 1 species
CUCCUGGCUGGGCAAAGGAUGUUAACAUAUAUGUCAGUUUAAGGGACUUAGAGACUUCUCCGUAGUUUCUGGAUGAAAAGUCACCAAAGAAAAUUCAUGACUGCAACAUUUUCUCUGAGCCCAAACUGAGGGUUUAUUCUUCAAAGACAAGGCUUCUGGGAAUGUCACCCUACCCCUGUGUGACUCCUCCCCAUUGUUUCCUGGGCCAGAUGGUCAGAGCUGACUUUACUACAGUGUGUGAAAAUAUCAGGCUAUAACUCUAUCCUGUAAAUGAGUCACAAGAUCUGAAGGUUUUAAAAAUGGGAAUCUCCCUGCACAAGUUUCUUUUGCCUGCUACCAUAUGAGAUGUGUCUUUCACCUUCCACCAUCAUUGUGAGGCCUCCCUAGACACAUGGAACUGUAAGUACAUUAAAUCUCUUUAUUUUGUAAAUUGCCCAGUCUCAAGUAUGUCUUUAUCAGCAAUGUGAAAAUGGACUAAUACACCAUAGUUUCAAAAACCCACUCAUGCAAGUAUUUCCAAACUGCCUGGCCAUGCAACCUGAAAAGAAGAAUGAACUGAUUGUUGGGUUUUAUGGUUGAUUAGUGGAUGGGAGGGGGUGACUUUCAGAUACUUGCAAGCUCCCUGGAU